CAGUCGCCACGGUAAUACGUAGGGUGCAAGCGUUAAUCGGAAUUACUGGGCGUAAAGCGUGCGCAGGCGGUUUGUUAAGACAGAUGUGAAAUCCCCGGGCUCAACCUGGGAACUGCAUUUGUGACUGGCAGGCUAGAGUAUGGCAGAGGGGGGUGGAAUUCCGCGUGUAGCAGUGAAAUGCGUAGAUAUGCGGAGGAACACCGAUGGCGAAGGCAGCCCCCUGGGCCAAUACUGACGCUCAUGCACGAAAGCGUGGGGAGCAAACAGGAUUAGAUACCCGAGUAGUCCCUGUCUCUUAUAC
rnacentral:rRNA from 1 species